rnacentral:rRNA from 1 species
CUCAGGAUGAACGCUGGCGGCGUGCUUAACACAUGCAAGUCGCACGGUCAGCAAUGGCAGUGGCGGACGGGUGAGUAACGCGUAGGAAUCUAUCCAUGGGUGGGGGAUAACGUCGGGAAACUGACGCUAAUACCGCAUGAUGCCUGAGGGCCAAAGGCGCGAGUCGCCUGUGGAGGAGCCUGCGUACGAUUAGCUUGUUGGUGGGGUAAAGGCCUACCAAGGCGGCGAUCGUUAGCUGGUCUGAGAGGAUGAUCAGCCACACUGGGACUGAGACACGGCCCAGACUCCUACGGGAGGCAGCAGUGGGGAAUAUUGGACAAUGGGCGAAAGCCUGAUCCAGCAAUGCCGCGUGAGUGAAGAAGGUCUUAGGAUUGUAAAGCUCUUUCGGUGGGGACGAUGAUGACGGUACCCACAGAAGAAGCCCCGGCUAACUUCGUGCCAGCAGCCGCGGUAAUACGAAGGGGGCUAGCGUUGCUCGGAAUGACUGGGCGUAAAGGGCGCGUAGGCGGCUGUCAUAGUCAGAUGUGAAAUUCCUGGGCUCAACCUGGGGACUGCAUUUGAUACGUGGCGGCUUGAGUGCGGAAGAGGGUCGUGGAAUUCCCAGUGUAGAGGUGAAAUUCGUAGAUAUUGGGAAGAACACCGGUGGCGAAGGCGGCGACCUGGUCCGUAACUGACGCUGAGGCGCGAAAGCGUGGGGAGCAAACAGGAUUAGAUACCCUGGUAGUCCACGCUGUAAACGAUGUGUGCUGGAUGUUGGGUCGCCUAGCGACUCAGUGUCGUAGCUAACGCGGUAAGCACACCGCCUGGGGAGUACGGCCGCAAGGUGAA